rnacentral:lncRNA from 1 species
AAAUGCCCGGGAAGCAGGCUGGCCCCGGCUGACCAGCCCCGAGGAGGGCGCUGCUCGUCCCUCACUCACGCGCACGAGGGGUUCAUCAUGUGACUCCCGGCCGUCUGGCUUGGUGGGGGCCGCCGGGGUGCUCUCUUUUCCUGACGGUCCCCCUAGCUGUCUGACCUGUUGUGAGGUGAGGAAUGACAACGUGCCUGCUCACAGAUUGCCUGGGCACUGACCGACUCACACACAAGGGCCUGCCAGGCACGGGGGCCCACUCCGCCUCAGCCCAGGGGGUGGGCACGUGGCCGUGCCAGACAGACAGACUUUUCCUCCAGGGAAUCUGCGUCCUGGGCCUUGGCUGCUGACACAGAGACUGUGGUGGCUGAGCCUCCUUCUCUGGGUGUGUUCUGAGAGAUGGGUCACUAGGCCCUGCCAACAGGACCCCUGGAGGCACCUGGAGUACUCUGGGCCCUGAUUCUCUUCUUCUUGUGAUUCUCUGAGCAUCGUUAGCCUCCCAGAAUAUUCUUCUCUCCCCCUAAAACUAGCCAGAGCCAGGCACUGCUGCUUGCUCCCCAAGGAUCCCAGUUAAUGCAGACCCCUGGGGUCUCCCCAUGCAAAAGAUGGACUCCUGUCGCCUGGGGCCUGGCCUCCUCCUCUGGCAACAGAGCACCCUCUCUAAGGCUCUGGGAUGGGCGCAGAGCCCUGCGACAUCAGGAGGCUUCCUGGAGAAGGUGGCGCUGGGGAAUGACAAAGGGUCAAAGGCAGCGGGAGUGGAAGGACCUCUGAGAAGAUAGAGAGGGGCGUCCAGUGUGGCCUGUGAGCGUCCCCCUGCCCACCGGCUCUGAGGAGCCCGUCUCUGCAGCCGACAGACCUCCUGCGAGCAGUGGCUGCUGUCCACUGUCCCCUUCUCAGAGGAGCCGCCGAGGCGGGAGCAGCCGAGGCCCUUAGGGGCAGGAUGCUAAUGGAUGGCCCCCCGCUGAGUCCGCCUGGCUUUUGUGAACAUGCCCGCCCAGACUGGUGUGCUUCAUUACCCAUUGCCGCACUCGCGCUGAGCUGUCCUGGACAGAGGCUCAGCCUGUGGCCGGAAGCCAAGUCUCAGGGUCCUCUUCCCUCCUGCGAGGUUGGUGGCCCUGGAAACCGAGGCCACGGCCCCUGCUGAUGAGAUCAGACAGGCCACCGUGUGUCAUGAACAUUCAACAGGCGUCACCAAGACCGUGCACAGACCUUGGGUGGGCCCUGCAGGGCCGAGGGAAGCUGGAGGCACAGCUGCUGGCGGGCAUCGACCCUGGACAGGCAGGGCGUGUGCGAGGCCAGACCCAGCGGUGAGAAGCAGCCCAGGCAGACAGUGGAGAGGACCCGGGAGUCUGAUCCCACCCCUGCCCAGGCUUCCUUGUCCUCACCUCCUUUUCUGAGUUGGCUUCACCCUGAGUCUUGGCGGUUGUCCCCACAGGUUCAGGCUGUGAGCCAGAGGGGCGGAGACCGAGAGAAGUGGGGGCGGUGCGUGCAGUAUGUGCGGAGCGCGGCUGAGUUCCCUGUCGAUGGCCACGGCCCGGUCCAUGCCAGGUGGGAUAAGUGGGAAAUGGCGAGCCUGGUGUCCCCAGGCACAGUCCUCAGGAUGGCCUGUCAACCUUCUUUUCCCAGCUCCGAGCAACAUUUUGGGCAGGACCCGGAGUUUUGUCACAGUUCUCAAAGCCCAGCUCACUGAGGGACCACCAACCAACUGGGUCAUAUUGCAUCUAAUGAUUAGCACCUCCCCCUCCCUCCACGCCCUUGGACUUCAGCAUGAGGGACUUGAAGGUGGGGGGGGGUCUCGUUCCCUAACUUUCUGGUUCUAACUUCUCAGGCAAUGGCAGGAAGGGAGCUGGGGAAAGGGAACCCACUAAUACCUUCUGUUUUCAGGAAUAUGAGUUGAUAUCUAUAAAAAGGCUUAGGACAGACUCAGGGUAAGACACCAACACAGUUUGGGAGUGUUUUAUACAGUUAAAUGCGCAGCUGGUCCACAGGAAAUGAAAAUGCACCUUUACCCAAAAGACUCAAAAAUUUCCCAAGCAGCUUUAUUCACCUUGAC